GCGGCGGAUAACACGGGUACGGGCACGGCGUUUCAGAUAUGGCUAAGUAAGGGAAGUAAAGAAGAGAAAAUAUGAAGACUAAUCUCAAGAGGGUAAGGCCACGAUCGUUUGUGUUCAUGUUUUUCUUUACCUUUCUUGAUGAACGAAUGGUUCUAUUAAAUUUAAAUGGUAAACACAUUUUCGUGCAAAAGAAACCGCGAGAAAGUGAAGAUAAGUUUUGGGAAAAAGCUCAGUGGAGGUCUGGAGUCUAGUUAGAUGACACUUGUUAUGUGACUUACUCUGACAAUUGUCGCUAGCCAUACGUCCUCAAUCAUGUUAAUGCACAGGUCUGGAGUCUAGUUAGAUGACACUUGUUAUGUGACUUACUCUACAAUUGUCGCUAGCCAUACGUCCUCAAUCAUG
rnacentral:lncRNA from 1 species